GUAUGUUUACACUGAAAUGUUUAUGAUGAGCAGCUCUGUUUGGCAUAAAACAAUAUCACAUAUAUCUAUUUCCUUCCUAGAAGAGGGUGCCAUUUUUUUCCUAGAAGAGUAGUCAGGCAUGCUUCUUAGCAGAUAUUGUGGACGUAGAUGGACUGUGCUGCCUCCCGCCUCAGCAGCUCAAGGGUUACACCUUCACCGCACACACCACCUGACAGAGUGCACAUAUCAGUGGAGCGUCCAUGCCGACCUUUUGGUCCUGGACUUAAUGAGGUUCAUCUUCACAAACUUUCUUUGAAAUUCAAAAUUUGGUGCCAGAUUGUAUGACAACUACAUAUAAUUGGUGCAAGUAUUAAUUGGGAACUUGGUCAUCUUUUAUCUAAUAUAUUUGCAUAUAAUUGGUGCAUCAAAUAGCCUCAUAAAUCUGAAACGGAUAUAUUUUACACGAGCCUUACUCUUAUAUGUAGUUGUCAUAAAGUGACGAAGAGGUGAAUGGGACUUGCUUAUCAGGAUCAUAUGAUAUUAUAUAGGUAUGUACUUUUUUUUGUUAUAUCUUUUGGAUUUGUAUUCAUUGGUUCCUGUUAAUCAUUUGUGACUUCAAAUGUUUUUAAUAUUUUUGGAAAUUAGAAAUGAUCAUUGCUGACAAUGAAUGAAUAAAAACGGACAUUUUGAAUCUCAGCGAGUGAAUGGGCAAUACUGGACCCACUACAUUGUCUCGCACACAGUUGGGAGGAUAUUUCCAUCCUUUCCUUACAUCCAUUGGUAUAGAAGCGCGGGUACUAACUGUGCUCAAAGUAGAGCCAAGAUUGAUGAGUUGAAGGAGAGAAAUAACUACCGCACCACCCAGCAACUCAGACCCUCCAAUUGUGUUAUUUGUUUAUGAUUGGUUGUAGUACUGGUUAGUAGUUAGUAUAUGAAAAAGCAUGUGUAUGCUCCUUUUGUGCUCUUGGUUUCCUUCUCUGCUCCCCUUCCUUGUGCUCUUUGACCCGAAUAUUGGUCUAUAUAGAUCUUGUGAUGCAAGCAUCGAUUUAUUGUUCUUGCGACGUCAGCCAUCAAGCUAUGGCUCCUGUGACACCACCCAUGGAGCUGGGGAAAGAUUGUUUGGUUGUGAUAUUAGAGACGGUAUUGUCAUUUUCCAAGGAGAGAUUCAGAGAAAAUUAUAGAAGUUAGUAUUAGAGGAUAAUAAUGUUAUAUCGGAAUACAUGUUAUCUACACAGGUGUACCCUGCAAGAAAUUACUUCACAAUAGAAAUGCAGGCACGUCCUGAAAAUAAACCGCGACAUCCCUAAAAAAAGACAUCAUUCAUGGGAGUUAAGAAUUGUUGUGGUGUUUCUUUGAAGCAGUUAAUCCAUGUUGUUUAUUCUUGCAGAUUGACUAGAUGAACUAGUUUAUUUAUGAUAUGUGGCAUUUUCUGGUAAGAUUUUUAACAAACCUUUUAGAGUGUUAUUCACUCCCUCAUCAAUCUGUGUGAUGUAUAAACAUGAUCAGCCUAAUCGCUCUCCUCUGUUUAUAACAGACAAUAUGCAAAAUAAUAAGAAGUGUGGCGAAGACAAUACAAUAUGCUGUCAAUAUGUUGGAAAAUUUAUUAUAUAAUCAAUUGAAUUAGUAAACUUGAUACUUGGUGUUCUUCAACCUUUGCUCCAAGUAGAUUAGAUUAGCACACCAAUUUAAAUCUUUAUUGUAUAGACAUCACUCGUUGUAGUCCGAUUGAAUCAUGCUAUAAGAUUUUUUCCUUUUCUGAGAAUAUCGUAAGAUUGUUUUAAGGAGGUUUUACAUUAAAGAAAUCAACGUCUAAAACCAAUUGUUCCUGAAAUUUCAAUCUGUGGUACGCAUUCACUACUUUUGUUCCUAUACAAUUUAUUUGAGAUUGUUGUACAUCGGUCCCAACCUUUUAUAGCAUCAUCUCCCUCUACGUUUGCUUGAUUAAAUAAACAUUAAUUGAAGUUUAUGGAAUGCGUGAAAAAUAAUUUGUAAUUGAAUCUAGGUUCAGUGAUUCUGUGAAUGUGAAGGUCCAUUCUUACAACUUGUCCGCGCAUACAAACAUAAAGAUUAGACAACACCUUGGAUUGGUCUUUCUAUUAACUUGUGGUCAUCAAACACAUUUAUGUCGUGCUCUGUACAUAUGCUCUAGAGCAAACAAGCAAUGAUAGUGAACUAUAGUUUCUGGGGUAUCACGCCCAUUUAAACUGAAGGUGCAAGUUCAGGCGGUGUUUUUUUUUUUCCUUCAGAUCUUUCUAUUUUACGAAUUUUACUGUUAUAGUUAUACUAUUAUAUAUAUUUUUAAAAUAUAUGAUCAAAGAUUAUUUUAUUUCAUAAAAAAAUAGAAAGGAUGCGGGAAAAUCAUUAUUUCUCUAUUUCCUGAAAUCAUUGUAUGAAUUUGUUUACCAUGAUNNNNNNNNNNNNNNNNNNNNNNNNNNNNNNNNNNNNNNNNNNNNNNNNNNNNNNNNNNNNNNNNNNNNNNNNNNNNNNNNNNNNNNNNNNNNNNNNNNNNCGGAGCAACUUUCAAUCAGGGUCAGAUGGUGCUUGUACCUUUAAAUUAAAUAGGAAAAAGAUAAAUCUCUCUACUUUUGAUGAUUGCUUCUAUUGUUUUGUUGUUUUCUGACAGCAUCUGUGAGAUACUCAUUUCAAUACAGGUGUUAUAGACUUUUAUCCAACAACUCAUUAUGCUAGAAAGGGAUCAUUUAGAUGCAGUUUCUGCUCUCACUCUCCAUUUAACCGAUUUACUGUUUUGUUUUCAGGGUGUUUGAGGGUUCUUAUUAUGAUGUGGAUUUAGAUGAAACUCAUAAACAAAUAGCAUUAAUUGCUGUCAAACUCAGAGGAUUCUUCAUCAAGCAAUUCAUCGGGAUCAGAUGAUUGGGUCGAACCUGCUGCAUAUGUUCUCAACUCAACAUCUCUUCUGACCAGGGAGCAUAUGAAUGUUUUGGAUGCCUUCCGUCUACUGCAAAGAGACCCUAAUGUUCAAGUGAAUGAGGCCUAACCUAUUUUCAUAUGCUCCGAAACUGCAUGUUUGCUUGUAACACUAUUGUGUUAUUGUGCCUCCAAGUUUUGAGGUACUGUCAAAUUUCUGAACAGUUCUUCUCUACUUUGCAGAAAAUGGUUAUGUCCUUGUCAUGUGAUAGGACUGUAUGGGAUGUUGUAAUGAAUAACGAGGCAGUGCGAGAAUUUAGGAGAUCUUUCCACGAUGGUAUGUUUACACUGAAAUGUUUAUGAUGAGUAGCUCUGUUUGGCAUAAAACAAUAUCACAUAUAUCUGUUUCUUUCCUAGAAGAGGGUGCCAUUUUUUUCCUAGAAGAGUAGUCAGGCAUGCUUCUUAGCAGAUAUUGUGGACGCAGAUGGACUGCGCCGCCUCCUGCCUCAGCAGCUCGAGGGUUACACCUUCACCGCACACACCACCUGACAGAGUGCACAUAUCAGUGGAGCGCCCAUGCCGAUCUUUUGGU
rnacentral:lncRNA from 1 species